rnacentral:rRNA from 1 species
GAUGAACGCUGGCGGCGUGCCUAAUACAUGCAAGUCGAGCGAACAGACGAGGAGCUUGCUCCUCUGACGUUAGCGGCGGACGGGUGAGUAACACGUGGAUAACCUACCUAUAAGACUGGGAUAACUUCGGGAAACCGGAGCUAAUACCGGAUAAUAUAUUGAACCGCAUGGUUCAAUAGUGAAAGACGGUUUUGCUGUCACUUAUAGAUGGAUCCGCGGCGUAUUAGCUAGUUGGUAAGGUAAAGGCGUACCAAGGCAACGAUACAUCGCCGACCUGAGAGGGGGGUAUGCCACACUGUGAAUGGGACACGGCCCAGACCCCUACAGGGGGCAGCCGUAGGGGAACUUCUCCAAAGGGGGGAAGGCCGACCGGGCAACGCCGCGGGAGGGAAGAAGGGUUUCGGGUCGGAAAAAUCUGUUUUAAGAGGAAAAAGAAAGUGGGAGUGGAAAGUUCACGCUGUGACGGUAUCUUACCAGAAAGGCACGGCUAACUACGUG